AGAGUUUGAUCCUGGCUCAGACCUAACGCUUGUGGUGUGUCUUAGUCAUGCAAGUCGAACGAGAAAGUCACCUUCGAGUGGCGAGUACAGUGGCGAACGGGUGAGUAGCACGUGGGCAACCUGCCCCUAGGUUGAGAAUGACACUUCCAACGAGGUGCUAAUACUGAAUGAUAAGGCGAGUUGAUGACUCGUUUUUAAAGGUGGCCUCUACUUGUAAGCUGCCGCCUAGGGAUGGGCCCGCGUCGUAUUAGCUUGUUGGUAGGGUAGUGGCCUACCAAGGCGACGAUGCGUAGCCGGCCUGAGAGGGUGAACGGCCACACUGGCACUGAGAUAAGGGCCAGUCUCCUACGGGAGCCAGCAGUCUAGAAAUUUGCACAAUCGCCGAAAGGCGGAUGCAGCGACACCACGUGGAGGAUGAAGCCCCUCGGGGUGUAAACUCCUGUCAGAAGGGAAGAAGGCACAGGCGUUAAUACCGCUCGUUGCUUGACGGUACCUUCGGAGGAAGCUCCGGCUAACUACGUGCCAGCAGCCGCGGUAAUACGUAGGGAGCGAGCGUUGUUCGGAUUCACUGGGCGUAAAGGGCACGUAGGCGGGUAUGCAAGUCGGUUGUGAAAUCCUCUGGCUCAACCAGAGAACUGCAGCCGAAACUGCAUACCUUGAGUCCAGCAGAGGGAAUCGGAAUCCUAGGUGUAGCGGUGAAAUGCGUAGAUAUCUGGGAGAACAUCAGUGGCGAAGGCGGAUUCCUGGGCUGGAACUGACGCUGAGGUGCGAAAGCUAAAGGGAGCGAACAGGAUUAGAUACCCUGGUAGUCUUAGCCGUAAACGAUGGGUACUAGGUGUUGGAGGACAUUGACCCCUUCGGUGCCGUAGCUAACGCAUUAAGUACCCCGCCUGGGGAGUACGGCCGCAAGGCUGAAACUCAAAGGAAUUGACGGGGACCCGCACAAGCAGUGGA
rnacentral:rRNA from 1 species